rnacentral:rRNA from 1 species
GACGAACGCUGGCGGCGUGCUUAACACAUGCAAGUCGAACGAUGAAACCUAGCUUGCUAGGUCGAUUAGUGGCGAACGGGUGAGUAACACGUGACUAACCUGCCCCUUUCUCUGGGAUAACGCUCCGAAAGGAGUGCUAAUACCGGAUUCUCACACCGAGGCACAUGCCUUGGUGUGGAAAGUUUUUCGGAAAGGGAUGGAGUCGCGGCCUAUCAGCUUGUUGGUGAGGUAACGGCUCACCAAGGCGACGACGGGUAGCUGGCCUGAGAGGGCGACCGGCCACACUGGGACUGAGACACGGCCCAGACUCCUACGGGAGGCAGCAGUGGGGAAUAUUGCACAAUGGGCGCAAGCCUGAUGCAGCGACGCCGCGUGAGGGAUGAAGGUCUUCGGAUUGUAAACCUCUUUCAGUAGGGACGAAGCGAAAGUGACGGUACCUAAAGAAGAAGCAUCGGCUAACUACGUGCCAGCCGCCGCCGUAA